rnacentral:misc_RNA from 1 species
CUGAGGUAUGCUCGGUGCCGCGUAAGCGCGCCGGUUGCCCGCCCAUAUGUCAUCUUUGCUGGACCCGCCCUGCCUUUGGGCAAGGGAGGGGACAGGAACGUCACUUCGGUCGAGGUGUUGUGCCUCUUCGUUUCAUUAUGAGGCUGGCAUGACCGCGGCCGGUUAUAUUUUACACUCUUGUGAGAGCAUGAAGUCUGAAGCAAACGAAAAUUUAAGCA